GAUGAACGCUGGCGGCGUGCCUAACACAUGCAAGUCGAGCGAAGCAUAUGACAUGAAGUUUUCGGAUGGAUUAUCAUAUGACUGAGCGGCGGACGGGUGAGUAACGCGUGGGUAACCUGCCUUAUACAGGGGGAUAACAGUUAGAAAUGACUGCUAAUACCGCAUAAGCGCACAGCACCGAAUGGUGCAGUGUGAAAAACUCCGGUGGUAUAAGAUGGACCCGCGUCUGAUUAGCCAGUUGGCGGGGUAACGGCCCACCAAAGCGACGAUCAGUAGCCGACCUGAGAGGGUGACCGGCCACAUUGGGACUGAGACACGGCCCAA
rnacentral:rRNA from 1 species